GACUUGGUAAAUCCGGUCGCAUAUCAACCCUGAGGCGUGAUGACGAGUCACUACGGUGAUGAAGUAGUUGAUGCCAAGCUUCCAGGAAAAGCCUCUAAGCUCUAGGUAACAUUGAAUCGUACCCCAAACCGACACAGGUGGUCAGGUAGAGAAUACCAAGGCGCUUGAGAGAACUCGGGUGAAGGAACUAGGCAAAAUGGUGCCGUAACUUCGGGAGAAGGCACGCUGGCGCGUAGGUGAAGUCCCUUGCGGAUGGAGCUGAAGCCAGUCGAAGAUACCAGCU
rnacentral:rRNA from 1 species